UUUGAAGAGCUUGCUCAGAUAUGACGAUGGACAUUGCAAAGAGUGGCGAACGGGUGAGUAACACGUGGGAAACCUACCUCUUAGCAGGGGAUAACAUUUGGAAACAGAUGCUAAUACCGAAUAACAAUAGCAACCGCAUGGUUGCUACUUAAAAGAUGGUUCUGCUAUCACUAAGAGAUGGCCCCGCGGUGCAUUAGUUAGUUGGUGAGGUAAUGGCUCACCAAGACGAUGAUGCAUACCCGAGUUGAGAGACUGAUCGGCCACAAUGGGACUGAGACACGGCCCAUACUCCUACGGGAGGCAGCAGUAGGGAAUCUUCCACAAUGGGCGAAAGCCUGAUGGAGCAACGCCGCGUGUGUGAUGAAGGGUUUCGGCUCGUAAAACACUGUUGUAAGAGAAGAAUGACAUUGAGAGUAACUGUUCAAUGUGUGACGGUAUCUUACCAGAAAGGAACGGCUAAAUACGUGCCAGCAGCCGCGGUAAUACGUAUGUUCCAAGCGUUAUCCGGAUUUAUUGGGCGUAAAGCGAGCGCAGACGGUUAUUUAAGUCUGAAGUGAAAGCCCUCAGCUCAACUGAGGAAUUGCUUUGAAAACUGGAUGACUUGAGUGCAGUAGAGGAAAGUGGAACUCCAUGUGUAGCGGUGAAAUGCGUAGAUAUAUGGAAGAACACCAGGGGCAAAGGCGGCUUUCUGGACUGUAACUGACGUUGAGGCUCGAAAGUGUGGGUAGCAAACAGGAUUAGAUCCCCUGGUAGCCCACACCGAAAACGAUGAGUGCUAGGUGUUGGAGGGUUCCCCCCUU
rnacentral:rRNA from 1 species